GAUUAGCUCAGCUGGUUAGAGCGCCACCUUUACACGGUGGAUGUCGGGGGUUCGAAUCCCUCAUCGCC
rnacentral:tRNA from 1 species